UACGGAGGGUGCAAGCGUUAUCCGGAUUCACUGGGUUUAAAGGGUGCGUAGGUGGCUUGGUAAGUCAGUGGUGAAAGCCCGGAGCUCAACUCCGGAACUGCCAUUGAUACUGCUUAGCUUGAAUCAGGUCGAGGUGGAUGGAAUACUACAUGUAGCGGUGAAAUGCUUAGAUAUGACAUAGAACACCAAUUGCGAAGGCAGCUCGCUACACUAUUAUUGACACUGAGGCACGAAAGCGUGGGGAUCAAACAGG
rnacentral:rRNA from 1 species